AUUGAACGCUGGCGGCAUGCUUUACACAUGCAAGUCGAACGGCAGCGCGGGCUUCGGCCUGGCGGCGAGUGGCGAACGGGUGAGUAAUGCAUUCGAACGUGCCCAGUAGUGGGGGAUAGCCCGGCGAAAGCCGGAUUAAUACCGCAUACGACCUGAGGGUGAAAGCGGGGGACCGAAAGGCCUCGCGCUAUUGGAGCGGCCGAUGUCGGAUUAGCUAGUUGGUGGGGUAAAGGCUUACCAAGGCGACGAUCCGUAGCUGGUCUGAGAGGACGACCAGCCACACUGGGGCUGAGACACGGCCCAGACUCCUACGGGAGGCAGCAGUGGGGAAUUUUGGACAAUGGGGGCAACCCUGAUCCAGCCAUGCCGCGUGCGGGAAGAAGGCCUUCGGGUUGUAAACCGCUUUUGUUCGGGAAGAAAUCCUCUGGGCUAAUACCCCGGGGGGAUGACGGUACCGGAAGAAUAAGCACCGGCUAACUACGUG
rnacentral:rRNA from 1 species